rnacentral:lncRNA from 1 species
AUGAGAACACAAUAGCACAGAUUGCUGAAGGACAGAACGGUCGGAGUGGGACUAGGAGCCUGGAGCGGGGGCGGGGACUUGAACAUUCCAGGCUCUGUGAACUAAGGUAAGUAGGCCUCUCCAUCCUGAUAGCGAGGGAGGCCUCAUCGGGUUUGACCCCGGCAUGCUUUGACACCUUUUUCACUGUUGGAAGAUGCUCUGACUUUAAAGUAGAAAGCAGACGUGACUGAAGCUGAUUGACACAGGUCAAGGGGACUUCAAGGAAGAAAGCCAGCCUUAGACUGACAUCAGAGAACCAAACUCCGGUGUCUAAGCUCAAGAAUAGCACCAGCUGAGCAUGGUGGCCCAGGUCUGCAAAUCAUAGCUGCAAGAGAGGCUAAGACAGGAAGAUAUUAUUGGGGCUUUUGAUGAGGAGACCAAAAGGCAGCUCUGAGCACAACCCACCCAAGAGCUUUCCUGAAUUAAUGAGCUAGCUACAGGCUCAAUGAGAAACCCUAUCUUAAAAUGCAAGGUGGAGAUGAAUUGAAGACACCUGACAUCAACCUCUGGGCUCCACAUGUACACUUAUAUGCACAUAUACACGAAUAUGCACACACAACACAGAGUAUACACAGUACAACAAAAUACAGAAUAAAAGUAAAGCUAUAUACCCCUUUGUAUACAUGACUAGCCACAGCACCUUUAACUGUAAUAAGCCCAAACUGUAAAUCACCCAAUUGUACAUGACUAUGUGAAUUGAUAGCAAGCUAUGGGAUAUCCAAUGCAAUGGGCCCAUCUCUGACACUGAAUAACUCAGUUUAUAAGUCAACAACAUGAAUAGAUCUUAAAAUCAUGCUGAAUGAAAUAAGUUGGAUAUAAAAGAUGGUGUGCUGCAUGGUUUAUAUAAAAUACUAGAAAAUGACCUUGAACAAGUUACUAAACUCUGAACUUCAGAUAUACCACAGGGAAAUAAAAAAUUACGGUAACUUCAUAAUUGUUCCUGCCUUGACUUCUCUACAAUAAUGGACUGUAACCGAGAAUGGAAAGCCAAAGAAAGUCCUUCCUCUUCUAAGCUGCUCUUGGUCGUGGUGUUUCAUCACAACAACAGAAGAGAACCUAGGACAAUCACCUUACCUGUGAGAGCGAGGAGCCUAUGCAGUAAUACAAGUAAUUGGGAAGACACUGGCUCAGAGCCUGUCUCUGGUGACCACUGAAUUGUCCAGCACCUGAGGUCCCUGGAGCCCACGGACUGAGCCCAUCUGGGCUAAAAGAGGUCCCAUACAUCCUUCUCAAAGGCCUAUAUAAAUGCCAAGCAGAGUUAUAGCAGGAGGUUAGAAUCCUGAGAACUGUUUGGAAUAAGGAAUCCAAAUAUUGUCUUCCAGCUUCACCUUGUCACGACAGUCCUCGCCAGGGACAGCUGACCUUACUCUCCAUAUACCUCUUCAGACCUCUUCUCUGCCUCCCAGCUCCCAUGGCGCCUCUCUCGAUACGUGGCCUCUUCUGAUACUUACCUCAGCUUGGACACAGCUCUCUGAAGAGCAUCUACAUCUCCAUUUAUGCCGUGUGCACGCAGUACCAACAGAGGUCAGAGGAGGGUGUCGGAUCCCCUGGAACUGGAGUCACAGAUUCUCUACAGCUGACAAGAUUAAUCAUGGCAGGUGCCAACAUCUAACUAAUGAUGCCUUGCGUGGAUGAAACAGUCCCAACGAACACUUUAAAAAGACAAAUGUUCCCGACAGCACUGGUUGAAUUCAAAACUCGGCAGAUCCAUGUUCUUAUCCUUAGACAAGAGAGGGGCCAUAACAAGAUGGAAUGACGGAACAGACGUGAGAGAUGAUGUCCACCCAGAGGGUCUGCACUUCUCGGAGCCAGAAGGUGGAGAAGAGUAGGGAUGGAGGAAGUUCGAAGUUUUAGGAGUCUGCUCUUGGGUCCCUAGGCAUGAGGACAAGCUUUUCCUGUACUCAAUGCUCAUCUCUCAGUUGUGCCCACAUUGGUACACAUUACUUGCUUUCAACUGCUGCUGCUGCUGUUUCCUAAUUCAAUAAA